GCUCACGAGAGGCAGUGUCAAGCACCUGGCUGGCUGCCCGGCAACCUCGACUCCGUCCGAGGUGCUCCAGGGGAAGAGCCGGCCCGGGCGGCGUCCGUCACCCGGGCAAGGACGGAGC
rnacentral:ncRNA from 1 species